rnacentral:rRNA from 1 species
UAGCAUAUCAAUAAGCGGAGGAAGACGGAAGUCGUAACAGGGAUUGCCCUAGUAACGCGCGAGUGAAGCGGCAACACGCUCAAAUUUGAAAUCUGGCGUCUUUGGCGUCCGAGUUGUAAUUUGCAGAGGGCGCUUUGGCAUUGGCAGCGGUCCAAGUUCCUUGGAACAGGACGUCACAGAGGGUGAGAAUCCCGUACGUGGUCGCUAGCCUUUACCGUGUAAAGCCCCUUCGACGAGUCGAGUUGUUUGGGAAUGCAGCUCUAAAUGGGAGGUAAAUUUCUUCUAAAGCUAAAUACUGGCCAGAGACCGAUAGCGCACAAGUAGAGUGAUCGAAAGAUGAAAAGCACUUUGGAAAGAGAGUUAAAAAGCACGUGAAAUUGUUGAAAGGGAAGCGCUUGCAGCCAGACUUGCCUGUAGUUGCUCAUCCGGGUUUUUACCCGGUGCACUCUUCUAUAGGCAGGCCAGCAUCAGUUUGGGCGGUUGGAUAAAGGUCUCUGUCAUGUACCUCUCUUCGGGGAGAACUUAUAGGGGAGACGACAUGCAACCAGCCCGGACUGAGGUCCGCGCAUCUGCUAGGAUGCUGGCGUAAUGGCUGUAAGCGGCCCGUCUUGAAACACGGACCAAGGAGUCUAACAUCUAUGCGAGUGUUUGGGUGUCAAGCCCGAACGCGUAAUGAAAGUGAACGGAGGUGGGAACCUUUCGGGGUGCACCAUCGACCGAUCCUGAUGUCUUCGGAUGGAUUUGAGUAAGAGCAUAGCUGUUGGGACCCGAAAGAUGGUGAACUAUGCUUGAAUAGGGUGAAGCCAGAGGAAACUCUGGUGGAGGCUCGCAGCGGUUCUGACGUGCAAAUCGAUCGUCAAAUUUGGCAUUAAGGGCGAAAGACUAAUCGAACUAUCUAGUAGCUGGGUUCUGCGAGCUUCUCCCCCCAGAGAGAAU